CUCCCGGUUGCCCGACCUUUCCACCACUCCCUCCCCUUCCCUCCCCUUCCGGCCGUUUUUUUCCGGAGGGCUCCAUCGUCUCUCUCGGGAAUUCAUGCCGCGUUGCGACUCGGUUUCUCUUUUCCCAUUUGAACUCCAGGAAAAAGGAAAGGAAAGGAAAGGAAAAGGCAAUGCUGGGAAAGAAAGGCGCAACAAUAGAUUGGAGCCAGACUUACUCGCAUACUAAGGGUGAACCGAGCCAAAGCAGCGACACCCCAUUCAGUCAAUGCAGCUAUGAUCAGUCUAUGAAAAUCCAUAGCAGCUGCCAAGAGACAAGAGGCUGUUUUAUUUGACAAACUCCAGAAGACUCAAACCCGUUCGUUUGUUGGAUCGGAGCAGGAAUAUUCCCUGGAUCUUAAAAAAGAUAUGCGAGCUGAAUUUUUUGUGGAUCUACUCUGCCAAGUAAAGUAAUCUAAAAUGGGUAGGUAUACCCUAGGUAGCAAAAUAAGCACACACACAUAUUUUUUUUCUACGUUGCUGCUCUAUUUUUAAGACGAAGACCUGGCAAAGCAGGAUAGCCGUAGUUACGUCUCAGCUCCGCUCAAAGCGAAACUUCGUAGCCGAGACCCCUGGUUCUUUUUGCUGCAAGAAAGAUGGUUGGAGA